GUGUCAGCAGCCGCGGUAAUACGGAGGAUCCAAGCGUUAUCCGGAUUUAUUGGGUUUAAAGGGUGCGUAGGCGGCCAAUUAAGUCAGGGGAGAAAGACGGUAGCUCAACUAUCGCAGUGCCCUUGAUACUGAAGAGCUUGAAUGGACUAGAGGUAGGCGGAAUGUGACAAGUAGCGGUGAAAUGCAUAGAUAUGUCACAGAACACCGAUUGCGAAGGCAGCUUACUAUGGUUUUAUUGACGCUGAGGCACGAAAGCGUGGGGAUCAAACAGGAUUAGAUACCCGGGUAGUCC
rnacentral:rRNA from 1 species